rnacentral:rRNA from 1 species
GAUGAACGCUAGCGGCAGGCCUAACACAUGCAAGUCGAGGGAGGAGCCUUCGGGCUUCGACCGGCGUACGGGUGCGUAACGCGUAUACAAUCUGCCUUUCACAUAGGGAUAGCCCGAAGAAAUUUGGAUUAAUACCUAAUGGUAUAUAGAUGUGGCAUCACCUUUAUAUUAAAGCUGAGGCGGUGAAAGAUGAGUAUGCGUUCUAUUAGCUAGUUGGAGAGGUAACGGCUCCCCAAGGCGACGAUAGAUAGGGGUUCUGAGAGGGAUAUCCCCCACACUGGUACUGAGAUACGGACCAGACUCCUACGGGAGGCAGCAGUGAGGAAGAGUGGACAAUGGUCGGAAGACUGAUCCAGCCAUGCCGCGUGCAGGAAGACGGCCUUAUGGGUUGUAAACUGCUUUUGCAGGGGAAGAAUAAGGACUACGCGUAGUUUGAUGACGGUACUCUGCGAAUAAGCAUCGGCUAACUCCGUG